AUAUCAAUAAGCGGAGGAAAAGAAACCAACAGGGAUUGCCCUAGUAACGGCGAGUGAAGCGGCAACAGCUCAAAUUUGAAAUCUGGCUCCUUCGGGGUCCGAGUUGUAAUUUGUAGAGGGUGCUUUGGCGUUGGCCAUGGUCUAAGUUCCUUGGAACAGGACGUCACAGAGGGUGAGAAUCCCGUACGUGGCCGCUGGCCUUCGCCAUGUAAAGCCCCUUCGACGAGUCGAGUUGUUUGGGAAUGCAGCUCUAAAUGGGAGGUAAAUUUCUUCUAAAGCUAAAUAUUGGCCAGAGACCGAUAGCGCACAAGUA
rnacentral:rRNA from 1 species